rnacentral:rRNA from 2 species
GAUGAACGCUGGCGGCGUGCCUAAUACAUGCAAGUCGAACGAGUUCUCGUUGAUGAUCGGUGCUUGCACCGAGAUUCAACAUGGAACGAGUGGCGGACGGGUGAGUAACACGUGGGUAACCUGCCCUUAAGUGGGGGAUAACAUUUGGAAACAGAUGCUAAUACCGCAUAGAUCCAAGAACCGCAUGGUUCUUGGCUGAAAGAUGGCGUAAGCUAUCGCUUUUGGAUGGACCCGCGGCGUAUUAGCUAGUUGGUGAGGUAAUGGCUCACCAAGGCGAUGAUACGUAGCCGAACUGAGAGGUUGAUCGGCCACAUUGGGACUGAGACACGGCCCAAACUCCUACGGGAGGCAGCAGUAGGGAAUCUUCCACAAUGGACGCAAGUCUGAUGGAGCAACGCCGCGUGAGUGAAGAAGGCUUUCGGGUCGUAAAACUCUGUUGUUGGAGAAGAAUGGUCGGCAGAGUAACUGUUGUCGGCGUGACGGUAUCCAACCAGAAAGCCACGGCUAACUACGUGCCAGCAGCCGCGGUAAUACGUAGGUGGCAAGCGUUAUCCGGAUUUAUUGGGCGUAAAGCGAGCGCAGGCGGUUUUUUAAGUCUGAUGUGAAAGCCCUCGGCUUAACCGAGGAAGCGCAUCGGAAACUGGGAAACUUGAGUGCAGAAGAGGACAGUGGAACUCCAUGUGUAGCGGUGAAAUGCGUAGAUAUAUGGAAGAACACCAGUGGCGAAGGCGGCUGUCUGGUCUGUAACUGACGCUGAGGCUCGAAAGCAUGGGUAGCGAACAGGAUUGGAUACCCUGGUAGUCCAUGCCGUAAACGAUGAAUGCUAGGUGUUGGAGGGUUUCCGCCCUUCAGUGCCGCAGCUAACGCAUUAAGCAUUCCGCCUGGGGAGUACGACCGCAAGGUUGAAACUCAAAGGAAUUGACGGGGGCCCGCACAAGCGGUGGAGCAUGUGGUUUAAUUCGAAGCAACGCGAAGAACCUUACCAGGUCUUGACAUCUUUUGAUCACCUGAGAGAUCAGGUUUCCCCUUCGGGGGCAAAAUGACAGGUGGUGCAUGGUUGUCGUCAGCUCGUGUCGUGAGAUGUUGGGUUAAGUCCCGCAACGAGCGCAACCCUUAUGACUAGUUGCCAGCAUUUAGUUGGGCACUCUAGUAAGACUGCCGGUGACAAACCGGAGGAAGGUGGGGAUGACGUCAAAUCAUCAUGCCCCUUAUGACCUGGGCUACACACGUGCUACAAUGGAUGGUACAACGAGUUGCGAGACCGCGAGGUCAAGCUAAUCUCUUAAAGCCAUUCUCAGUUCGGACUGUAGGCUGCAACUCGCCUACACGAAGUCGGAAUCGCUAGUAAUCGCGGAUCAGCACGCCGCGGUGAAUACGUUCCCGGGCCUUGUACACACCGCCCGUCACACCAUGAGAGUUUGUAACACCCGAAGCCGGUGGCGUAACCCUUUUAGGGAGCGAGCCGUCUAAGGUGGGACAAAUGAUUAGGGUG